AUGGAGUUGACCGGUCCACUGGCGCUGGGACGGGGUCAAAACGGAGGAUCAGGGCAGGCGGAAGUGGAACUUGGUGCGGACGAGUCGUGGGACUCCGGCGAGGCCUUGGGCGGCAGACGGACGGAUCCGGGAGGUCUUGACGACGAGGAGCCGGUUCCUGGUAGUAGGAGCGCGGGGCGGCUCAAUGAACAGCACCGGGUGGCGGCGCUUGAACUUGUUGCAGCCACAGUGAUGAGCGGUAGGCCGCAUGCGCAAGUAAGGAGGUGUGGAGCACCAGAUCCGAAGCGGGGGAAUGGGAGGAGGUCGGAUUCGUCGCGGCUCAUCGGAUCUCGCCGAAGACAGGGCAAAACCGAGGUCGAAGAGGCGUAG
rnacentral:rRNA from 1 species